UCGGGAAUUUUGGGCAAUGGGCGAAAGCCUGACCCAGCAACGCCGCGUGAGGGAUGAAGUAUUUCGGUAUGUAAACCUCGAAAGAAUGGGAAGAAUAAAUGACGGUACCAUUUAUAAGCUCCGGCUAACUACGUGCCAGCAGCCGCGGUAAUACAGAGGUCCCAAGCGUUGUUCGGAUUCACUGGGCGUAAAGGGUGCGUAGGUGGUGGGGUAAGUCGGAUGUGAAAUCUCGGAGCUCAACUCCGAAAUGGCAUUGGAAACUACCCUGCUAGAGGGUCGGAGGGGGGACUGGAAUUCUCGGUGUAGCAGUGAAAUGCGUAGAUAUCGAGAGGAACACCAGUGGCGAAGGCGAGUCCCUGGACGACUCCUGACACUGAGGCACGAAAGCUAGGGGAGCAAACA
rnacentral:rRNA from 1 species